GACGAACGCUGGCGGCGUGCCUAAUACAUGCAAGUUGAGCGCUGAAGGUUGGUACUUGUACCAACUGGAUGAGCAGCGAACGGGUGAGUAACGCGUGGGGAAUCUGCCUUUGAGCGGGGGACAACAUUUGGAAACGAAUGCUAAUACCGCAUAAAAACUUUAAACACAAGUUUUAAGUUUGAAAGAUGCAAUUGCAUCACUCAAAGAUGAUCCUGCGUUGUAUUAGCUAGUUGGUGAGGUAAAGGCUCACCAAGGCGAUGAUACAUAGCCGACCUGAGAGGGUGAUCGGCCACAUUGAGACUGAGACACGGCCCAAACUCCGACGGGAGGCAGCAGUAGGGAAUCUUCGGCAAUGGACGAAAGUCUGACCGAGCAACGCCGCGUGAGUGAAGAAGGUUUUCGGAUCGUAAAACUCUGUUGGUAGAGAAGAACGUUGGUGAGAGUGGAAAGCUCAUCAAGUGACGGUAACUACCCAGAAAGGGACGGCUAACUACGUG
rnacentral:rRNA from 1 species